rnacentral:rRNA from 1 species
CGGUAGCUAAUACCGCAUAACGUCGCAAGACCAAAGAGGGGGACCUUAGGGCCUCUUGCCAUCGGAUGUGCCCAGAUGGGAUUAGCUAGUAGGUGGGGUAACGGCUCACCUAGGCGACGAUCCCUAGCUGGUCUGAGAGGAUGACCAGCCACACUGGAACUGAGACACGGUCCAGACUCCUACGGGAGGCAGCAGUGGGGAAUAUUGCACAAUGGGCGCAAGCCUGAUGCAGCCAUGCCGCGUGUAUGAAGAAGGCCUUCGGGUUGUAAAGUACUUUCAGCGGGGAGGAAGGGAGUAAAGUUAAUACCUUUGCUCAUUGACGUUACCCGCAGAAGAAGCACCGGCUAACUCCGUGCCAGCAGCCGCGGUAAUACGGAGGGUGCAAGCGUUAAUCGGAAUUACUGGGCGUAAAGCGCACGCAGGCGGUCUUGUUAAGUCAGAUGUGAAAUCCCCCGGGCUCAACCUGGGAACUGCAUCUGAUACUGGCAAGCUUGAGUCUCGUAGAGGGGGGUAGAAUUCCGGUGUAGCGGUGAAAUGCGUAGAGAUCUGGGAGGAAUACCGGUGGCGAA